rnacentral:miRNA from 1 species
GGAGGAUAUACUUCUGUGAAUAUGUUAAGUACAUGCCAGUGUCUGCUAAAGAAGAUUUUAUUUUGUAAGAAAGACUUCCUUUUCUUUUUCUUCUUGCACAAGUUAUUCUUAUU